CGCGAGACGUGUUGGAAGGACGAAACAGUUCAUGCACAGAGACAAGAUUCAUGGCCCUGCUCUCAUGUGGACAUCUGAUCUCAGAUAAAGAGACGACUGCGCUCUAGGAAAUGGUCACUGGCCUCAUCGAAGAUGUUUGCUGUUACUGCACAUGUGUUUUAUUUUGCCCCUUGAGACACAACUCUGGCUGAAGUGUCUCUGUUGUGCAAUAAUCGGGCAAAAAGUAACAACUGGCUCACGAUAGCUCAACUCCCACUGUUUUGUGGGCUUUGGGUAUGGAACCGAGCCAGAUACUAAGACUCAGUUUACCACAAAGUUAAUUAUUCAUGAUGAGUAAAACCUGGAGUACUUUGAGUACAAUUUGUUACACUUAAUCAAUUUCUGCCUGUCUUGUUUAUUUGUUUGAUAUUUGCUUAAGCUUGUUUUAAUGAGUAGUUUAACAAACACUUUACUGAUUUGCAAUCUUCACAACAAAGAUACCACUUUGCCUUGUUUUCUACUCAUAAGACAGAAGACCCAGGAGUCACCUCUGAUGGACCAGAUAAAGCUGUAGAGCAGCAGUACAGUGGCUCCAGAAGCGUUGGACCCCCAUCUUUUGGCGUGACAUUUGAAGACGUCUGCAGGUAUGUAUUAAAUAAGACAUGGUUGAAAGUGAGUAUUUUGCAUCUUGACACCUUGAAACAUAUGCUUUAAGAAAGGUCACGUCUCAAGACAGCAGUAAAGCUUUGUGAAAUUGUUGAAUAAAAGAUGUUCAAUAAAAAAAUAAAAGUCACUGAGUGUCUUUUAUUUAAAUGCAACCCCAAAUUAUCUUUGCUCAAAUUGCAACAGCAGUUAAGGCUUUUGUUUACAUCUAUCAAAUGAGGUUGAUUGAUCUCAAACACCUCCUUACUGAUUAUUUUUUUCAUAGAGUCCUAAAGUGAGACUGUUACUGGUGACUGAGAGCUGUCAUCAGUGGUCUGAAUGUCCUUGGUCCUUUAAAUCAAAUAACUGAUAAUGAAUGACAAAAAUCCAUCUAUCCAACCCAUUUUAGGAAGGAUACCAGUUUUCAACCCCAAAAUACAGUGCUCUUGAAGGUCAGAUAGCUCAUUGAGUAACCAUUUUCAAUAUUUUUAAAUCAAUUAUUUGAACCAAAUUAAGUUUAUUCACAGGUCAGAACUUCUUUCAAGUAUAACCAUGAUUAUCAUAUACAACUCCAGUCUGUUCAGUUUGAUUUAAACACAUUAUCAAUAUAAGUAGGCACACAUCAGUACUUUUACAUUAUUCCAUCUGUUGUUUGUAUCUUAUCUGAACUUUACACAGAGAGUCAUUUAUACACAAAAAAAACAAGUUCAAUAAUUUCCACCAAUAAUUAAAAUUGUACAAAAAUCAUCACACUUUGUCAAACUUGACAUUCAGUAGGGAGAGACAAGACUCUUCUAUGUAUUUCGAAAACUAAGUUUACUCACAGAUUAUUUUACAAAUAAAGUUAGAGGCAGCGCCCUGAGAAUAUUAUGUCCAAGCAGAUGAAUGUGCUUCUCAAAAAUAAUGCAUUGUAAUGCUUUUUCGUAUGGUAUCACAGUUUUAUGUUCACAGUCAAUGUUAAUAACCACCACCUUCUAAAACAUUUGACAGAGCUUCAGGAGCAAAAACGACCACGUUCAUGAACACAUUCACUCCGUAUGCAGAUGA